GGGGUCUUAGUGUAGCCUGGUUUAACACGCUGCCCUGUCACGGCAGAGACCGCCGGUUCAAAUCCGGUAGACCCCG
rnacentral:tRNA from 1 species